rfam:Syntrophobotulus glycolicus DSM 8271, complete genome.
GCGGGUGUAACUCAGUGGUAGAGUGUCACCUUGCCAAGGUGAAAGUCGCGAGUUCGAAUCUCGUCACCCGCU